GAUGAACGCUGGCGGCGUGCCUAAUACAUGCAAGUCGAGCGGUAAGGCCUCUUCGGAGGUACACGAGCGGCGGACGGCUGAGUAACACGUGGGAACAUACCCCAAAGUGAGGGAUAACCGCCCGAAAGGGUGGCUAAUACCGCAUAUGAUCUUCGGAUUAAAGGAUUUAUCCGCUUUGGGAGUGGCCUGCGUAAGAUUAGAUAGUUGGUGAGGUAAUGGCUCACCAAGUCGACGAUCUUUAGUUGGUCUGAGAGGAUGACCAGCCAGACUGGAACUGAGACACGGUCCAGACUCCUACGGGAGGCAGCAGUGAGGAAUCUUCCACAAUGGGCGAAAGCCUGAUGGAGCAACGCCGCGUGCAGGAUGAAGGCCUUCGGGUCGUAAACUGCUUUUAUGAGUGAAGAAUAUGACGGUAACUCAUGAAUAAGCACCGGCUAACUACGUGCCAGCAGCCGCAGUAAUAC
rnacentral:rRNA from 1 species